rnacentral:rRNA from 1 species
UACGUAGGGGGCAAGCGUUGUCCGGAAUUAUUGGGCGUAAAGAGCGUGUAGGCGGCCAGAUAAGUCCGCUGUGAAAUCUCGAGGCUCAACUUCGAGCUGUCGGUGGAAACUAUCUGGCUAGAGUCCGGAAGAGGAGAAUGGAAUUCCUGGUGUAGCGGUGAAAUGCGCAGAUAUCAGGAGGAACACCGGUGGCGAAGGCGGGUCUCUGGGCCGAAAUUGACGCUGAGGAGCGAAAGCGUGGGGAGCGAACAGG